rnacentral:rRNA from 1 species
UACGUAGGGGGCAAGCGUUGUCCGGAAUCAUUGGGCGUAAAGAGCGUGUAGGCGGCUUGGUAAGUCCGCUGUGAAAGCCCGGGGCUUAACCCCGGGUCGGCAGUGGAUACGGGCAGGCUAGAGGUAGGUAGGGGAGAAUGGAAUUCCCGGUGUAGCGGUGAAAUGCGCAGAUAUCGGGAGGAACACCGGUGGCGAAGGCGGUUCUCUGGGCCUGUACUGACGCUGAGGAGCGAAAGCGUGGGGAGCAAACAGG